rnacentral:rRNA from 1 species
GACGAACGCUGGCGGCGUGCUUAACACAUGCAAGUCGAACGGAAAGGCCCCUUUGGGGGUACUCGAGUGGCGAACGGGUGAGUAACACGUGAGUAACCUGCCCUUGACUUCGGGAUAACUUCAGGAAACUGGGGCUAAUACCGGAUAGGAAUCCUUGCUGCAUGGUGGGGGUUGGAAAGCUUCGGCGGUUUUGGAUGGACUCGCGGCUUAUCAGUUUGUUGGUGGGGUAGUGGCUUACCAAGGCUUUGACGGGUAGCCGGCCUGAGAGGGCGAACGGCCACAUUGGGACUGGGAUACGGCCCAGACUCCUACGGGGGGCAGGAGUGGGGAAUAUUGCACAAUGGGCGGAAGCCUGAUGCAGCAACGGCGCGUGCGGGAUGACGGCCUUCGGGUUGUAAACCGCUUUCAGCAGGGGCGAAGCUUGGGGUGACGGUACCUGCAGAAGAAGCACCGGCUAACUACGUG